CUACGGGCGGCUGCAGUCGAGAAUCUUUCGCAAUGGGCGAAAGCCUGACGAAGCGACGCCGUGUGAACGAAGAAGGCCUUCGGGUUGUAAAGUUCUUUCGCCUAGGGACAAGGUAUUUAUGUGAAUAAUGUAAAUGCUUGAGGGUACUAGGUAAAGAAGCACCGGCUAACUCCGUGCCAGCAGCUGCGGUAAUACGGAGGGUGCAAGCAUUAUCGGAAUUAUUGGGCGUAAAGGGCGCGUAGGCGGUUUAAAAAGUCAUUUUGUGAAAUUCCAAGGCUUAACCUUGGAGCUGCAGAUGAAACUUUUAGACUAGAGGAUAGGUGGAGAAAAUGGAAUUCCCCGUGUAGCGGUGAAAUGCGUAGAUAUGGGGAGGAACACCGGUGGCGAAAGCGAUUUUCUAGCUUAUACCUGACGCUGAGAGCGCGAAAGCAAGGGGAGCAAACAGGAUUAGAUACCCCAGUAGUC
rnacentral:rRNA from 1 species